GAUGAACGCUGGCGGCGUGCUUAAUACAUGCAAGUCGAACGAGGGACUUCUGUCUUCGGAUGGAGGUUUCCUAGUGGCGAACGGGUGAGUAACGCGUUGGUGACCUGCCCCGAAGUGGGGGAUAACAGUUCGAAAGGACUGCUAAUACCUCAUGUGAUCAGCUGGAUUAGAUGCCUGCUGAUUAAAGGCGAAAGCCGCUUUGGGAGGGGCCUGCGUCCCAUCAGCUAGUUGGUAGGGUAAUGGCCUACCAAGGCGAUGACGGGUAGGGGACCUGGGAGGGUGGCCCCCCACACUGGCACUGAAACACGGGCCAGACACCUACGGGUGGCAGCAGUAGGGAAUAUUGGACAAUGGGCGAAAGCCUGAUCCAGCAACGCCGCGUGCGCGAUGACGGCCUUCGGGUUGUAAAGCGCUUUUAGAGGAGAUGAGAAAGGACAGUAUCCUCAGAAUAAGCCUCGGCGAACUACGUGCCAGCCGCCGCUGUAAUAC
rnacentral:rRNA from 1 species